CCAGAUAAGACAGCUGAAUGAUAGUCGGGCUGAAGACUCUACUUGACUAGCUGAGAGGAGGUGCAUGGCCGUCGUCAGUUCGUACUGUGAAGCAUCCUGUUAAGUCAGGCAACGAGCGAGACCCACGCCAACAGUUGCCAGCUCGUCCUCCGGGAUGGUGGGGACACUGUUGGGACCGCCUCUGCUAAAGAGGAGGAAGGAAUGGGCAACGGUAGGUCAGCAUGCCCCGAAUUAUCUGGGCUACACGCGGGCUACAAUGGGUGGGACAAUGGGUAUCGACACCGAAAGGUGAAGGCAAUCUCCUAAACCCAUCCGUAGUUCGGAUUGUGGGCUGCAACUCGCCCACAUGAAGCUGGAAUCCGUAGUAAUCGCGUUUCAAAAUAGCGCGGUGAAUAUGUCCCUGCUCCUU
rnacentral:rRNA from 1 species